CGGAUGCUGCAGGUGCCAAAACAGACGUGGUGUGGUACCUGCAAUUACCAGCUACCUGGUGCUCCAGCUCCUGCAACGUUCUGGCAACAGACACUAUGUCCAGUUCCACUUCAAAGCUGCCUCUGUGCUUUCAGAAUCACAGGAUCCUUCUAUGCAAAGCCUGGAGACCACAAGGAUAGUACUGCUGUUGGUAAAGGAUUUCCCCAGUAGAUCAGCUCACCUGCCUGAGCUCCUGCCUCUCAACAGGCUCACAAAAUGCAUCACAAAAUGCAUCACAAAAUGCACUUGUCCAUAUCCAGUGUUGCUGUCAGAAGAGGCAGAGUUUCACAUAAUUCUGCUCAGACUCAGACAUCCAACUUCACAGCUUGUCCUGAUAGCAUCUCCCAGGAGGAAAGUCCACUAAUUCACCUUGCUCUGUUAAAAGUCAAAUUUACCUUUUAGAAUGAGCUUUAUCUUUGUAUGAUCUCUUACCAGACAAGCAUGGUUAUGAACCUUUUCUGGCCCUGAAACCAGUUUACUCAGGUAGUUUCACCGAGCAAUUAGGUUUUGAAACACAGAAACAAACUUCACAGUCUACAUACAGCAGUAAUUAGGAGCAUCUCACAGGCUGAGCCAAUGUUUUUUUGAUCAAGAAUUCUAUAGAGCUGGGCAAACAUAUCUCCUCAAAACCAUCUUGCUUUAAAAUCUCUAAGUUUUGACAGGGAAAUGCAGGUUUGUGCCUAGCUCAGAAUACACUGGAUUAUGUUUUCUGCCAUCAGCAGCCUCAUUGCAAACUGUUGUCUGGAAGGAAAGACAGCUCUGGCUCUUACCUCCAGCUCAAUGCAGGACACAAAACAUUUGUUGUUCACUCUCCAGAGAUGCAGCUCAGUGCACAUCAGGCUGUAGCUCUGCUCCUGCUAUAGUUUCUCCAAAAAGGUAAAUGACUUAGGGGUGCUUGCCAAGGCAUUCUCUCCUCCCAGGAUUCCCAUUCCCUUUUCUCUGUCUGUGACUUCAAAAGGAAAGUUUGCUCUUACUGACACAGUAUUACAAUUAGCUAAGUCAUCUGCAAUGCACUGAACUGGGAACUGCUUCUCAUCACACAAAUCUAAAAUUAGCCAAGGUUCACUCCCCUGUGUCCAUAAGUGGCCAUCCUAUGGUCAGAGAAGGUGACCCCCAACUUUUUUCUCGUUUCCUCGAUAAUAUGAAAACAGCUUUUGAUUUCUUUUCCCUCUACAUUUCACUAUAUUCAGAUUUCUUAGAUAAAUUCUUUACAUAAACAUAUUUCAGCCAGCAGGUUGCAUUCAAACUUUUCACAUUGAUUAUUGACCAAAGCACCAGGUGUGAUCCAUGACAGAUCUGCUCACCUGAGACAGGCAGGGCUGCUCCUGAUCCUGGCUUACAAGAGCUGUGGCUACACUUGGAAGGAGAGUUUCAAUAGUGCACAGGGAACUACUGACUAGAGCAAAUUAAUUUAUCUUCUUUUCCACAAACUUCCAUGAAAAGAAAACUAAUGCUGAUGUGAAUAAAAUAGAAAAGGGAUGUGACUACA
rnacentral:lncRNA from 1 species